rnacentral:rRNA from 1 species
GACGAACGCUGGCGGCGUGCUUAACACAUGCAAGUCGAACGGUAAGGCCUUCGGGUACACGAGUGGCGAACGGGUGAGUAACACGUGGGUGAUCUGCCCCCUACUCUGGGAUAAGCCUGGGAAACUGGGUCUAAUACCGGAUAUGACCUCCUUCUGCAUGGUUGGUGGUGGAAAGUUUUUUCGGUAGGGGAUGAGCCCGCGGCCUAUCAGCUUGUUGGUGGGGUAAUGGCCUACCAAGGCGACGACGGGUAGCCGGCCUGAGAGGGCGACCGGCCACACUGGGACUGAGACACGGCACAGAGUCCUACGGGAGGCAGCGGUGGGGAAUAUUGCACAAUGGGCGAAAGCCUGAUGCAGCGACGCCGCGUGGGGGAUGACGGCCUUCGGGUUGUAAACCCCUUUCAGUCGGGACGAAGCGAGAGUGACGGUACCGAUAGAAGAAGCACCGGCCAACUACGUGCCAGCCGCCGCGGUAACAC